rnacentral:rRNA from 1 species
GUGGGUAACCUACCCUGUACACACGGAUAACAUACCGAAAGGUAUGCUAAUACGGGAUCAUAGAUUUGAGAGGCAUCUCAUGAAUAUCAAAGGUGAGCCAGUACAGGAUGGACCCGCGUCUGAUUAGCUAGUUGGUAAGGUAACGGCUUACCAAGGCGACGAUCAGUAGCCGACCUGGGAGGGUGAUCGGCCACAUUGGAACUGAGACACGGUCCAAACUCCUACGGGAGGCAGCAGUGGGGAAUAUUGCACAAUGGGCGAAAGCCUGAUGCAGCAACGCCGCGUGAGUGAUGAAGGCCUUCGGGUCGUAAAACUCUGUCCUCAAGGAAGAUAAUGACGGUACUUGAGGAGGAAGCCCCGGCUAACUACGUGCCAGCAGCCGCGGUAAUACGUAGGGGGCUAGCGUUAUCCGGAUUUACUGGGCGUAAAGGGUGCGUAGGCGGUCUUUCAAGUCAGGAGUGAAAGGCUACGGCUCAACCGUAGUAAGCUCUUGAAACUGGGAGACUUGAGUGCAGGAGAGGAGAGUGGAAUUCCUAGUGUAGCGGUGAAAUGCGUAGAUAUUAGGAGGAACACCAGUUGCGAAGGCGGCUCUCUGGACUGUAACUGACGCUGAGGCACGAAAGCGUGGGGAGCAAACAGGAUUAGAUACCCUG